AUUGAACGCUGGCGGCAGGCCUAACACAUGCAAGUCGAACGAGUGGCGGACGGGUGAGUAAUGUCUGGGAAACUGCCUGAUGGAGGGGGAUAACUACUGGAAACGGUAGCUAAUACCGCAUACCAUCAGAUGUGCCCAGAUGGGAUUAGCUUGUUGGUGGGGUAACGGCUCACCAAGGCGACGAUCCCUAGCUGGUCUGAGAGGAUGACCAGCAACACUGGAACUGUGACAGGGUCCAGACUCCAACGGGAGGCAGCAGAGGGGAAUAUUGCACAAUGGGCGAAAGCCGGAUGGAGCCAGGCGGCGGGUAUGAAGAAGGCCUUCGGGGUGGAAAGUACUUUCAGCGGGGAGGCGGUACCCGAAGAAGAAGCACCGGCUAACUCCGUGCCAGCAGCCGCGGUAAUUC
rnacentral:rRNA from 1 species